rnacentral:rRNA from 1 species
UACGAAGGUGGCAAGCGUUACUCGGAAUUACUAGGCGUAAAGGGCAGGUAGGUGGUUUGAUAAGUCUGUUGUGUAAGCUCCCGGCUUAACUGGGAGAGGUCAACAGAUACUGUCAGGCUUGAGUAUAGGAGAGGUUACUGGAAUUCCCGGUGUAGCGGUGAAAUGCGCAGAUAUCGGGAGGAACACCAAUGGCGAAAGCAGGUAACUGGACUAUUACUGACACUCAGCUGCGAAAGCUAGGGGAGCAAACAGG